rnacentral:lncRNA from 1 species
AUAUAAACGUAUUUUCUUGUCCCAGCCACGUUAAAAAAAUGUGUUUGAUCUUUGCAAGUAAUUUUUUGUGCAGUCAGUACAUUGAAUUAAAUUUAACAUUUUUAAGCAAAGAAACAGUUUAUUUUUAGAGGGAUUGAUAAGAUAUUGACUCCUGAAUGGUCCAAAACAACCAAAAUGGUAUGUCCCUAGACCGCUUGUUCAACAUUCAUACUCUGAAAUAUCGUUAAAAAAUGAAGAAAUAAAUGUUAUUUUUACUUUACAUAAGUUCUUUAAUAAUUCAAAAGUAUGUUCAGAGCCAACAUAUUGAAUAAACAGCUUUCAAUAUAAGAUUUUUAAUUUCAGAAGGUGUGUCCCUCACAAAAUGUCCACUACGAAACGAAGUCAUUAAAAUUUGCCAAUAAACAGUUUUAUAAAAGCAAUGUAAUUUUUGUUUGCAAGAGAUAUAAACAUUAGGGUCUUACAAAAGAAGUGAUGCUUUUAUAACGUCAAUUAAAUUGUUGGUAAGAAAAAUUGAGCACAUCAAAUGGACCAUAGUGAUACCGUAUUUUUGUUAAUGUCCACUACGAAACGGGGCAAAUCUCCUUCAGUAUCUGGUUUUAAAAUUAUGAAAAAAUAUCAGUGUACAGCUUAAUAAAUGCUUUGAUAAAUACAAUCAGUCUUGUUACUAUUGCAAUAUAGGGAUUGUGGGGAAAAAAAUAAAACAAUCGAAUAUGUCCCCUACGAAACGGUCCCCUACGAAAAAAGUAUGGGAGAAAAACGUUUCGUAGUGGACACUACCACUGCCA